UACGGAGGGUGCAAGCGUUAUCCGGAUUCACUGGGUUUAAAGGGUGCGUAGGUGGGCAGUUAAGUCAGUGGUGAAAUCUCCGGGCUCAACCCGGAAACUGCCAUUGAUACUAUCUGUCUUGAAUGUCGUGGAGGUAAGCGGAAUAUGUCAUGUAGCGGUGAAAUGCUUAGAUAUGACAUAGAACACCAAUUGCGAAGGCAGCUUACUACCCGAAUAUUGACACUGAGGCACGAAAGCGUGGGGAUCAAACAGG
rnacentral:rRNA from 1 species